GGCAAGCGUUGUCCGGAUUUAUUGGGCGUAAAGAGCGUGUAGGCGGCCAGGUAGGUCUGCUGUGAAAACUCGAGGCUUAACCUCGAGCUGUCGGCGGAAACCAUCUGGCUAGAGUCCGGAAGAGGAGAAUGGAAUUCCCGGUGUAGCGGUGAAAUGCGCAGAUAUCGGGAAGAACACCCGUGGCGAAGGCGGUUCUCUGGGACGGUACUGACGCUGAGACGCGAAAGCGUGGGGAGCGAACAGG
rnacentral:rRNA from 1 species